AUCUUCGGAUCUAGUGGCGGACGGGUUAGUAACGCGUGGGAACGUACCCUUCACUACGGAAUAGUCCCGGGAAACUGGGUUUAAUACCGUAUACGCCCUUCGGGGGAAAGAAUUUCGGUGAGGGAUCGGCCCGCGUUAGAUUAGUUAGUUGGUGGGGUAAUGGCCUACCAAGACUACGAUCUAUAGCUGGUUUGAGAGGAUGAUCAGCAACACUGGGACUGAGACACGGCCCAGACUCCUACGGGAGGCAGCAGUGGGGAAUCUUAGACAAUGGGGGCAACCCUGAUCUAGCGAUGCCGCGUGAGUGAUGAAGGCCUUAGGGUCGUAAAGCUCUUUCGCCUGUGAUGAUAAUGACAGUAGCAGGUAAAGAAACCCCGGCUAACUCCGUGCCAGCAGCCGCGGUAAUACGGAGGGGGUUAGCGUUGUUCGGAAUUACUGGGCGUAAAGCGCACGUAGGCGGAUUAGUCAGUCAGAGGUGAAAUCCCAGGGCUCAACCCUGGAACUGCCUUUGAUACUGCUAGUCUUGAGUUCGAGAGAGGUAAGUGGAAUUCCGAGUGUAGAGGUGAAAUUCGUAGAUAUUCGGAGGAACACCAGUGGCGAAGGCGGCUUACUGGCUCGAUACUGACGCUGAGGUGCGAAAGUGUGGGGAGCAAACAGGAUUAGAUACCCUGGUAGUCCACACCGUAAACGAUGAAUGCCAGUCGUCGGGUAGCAUGCUAUUCGGUGACACACCUAACGGAUUAAGCAUUCCGCCUGGGGGAGUACGGUCGCAAGAUUAAAACUCAAAGGAAUUGAC
rnacentral:rRNA from 1 species